GUGAGGAAUCUUGCGCAAUGGGGGAAACCCUGACGCAGCAACGCCGCGUGAGUGAUGAAGGCCUUCGGGUCGUAAAGCUCUGUCGGAUGGAAAGAAAGUCUUUGCGGUGAAUAUCCGCAGGGAUUGACGGUACCAUUAAAGGAAGCACCGGCUAACUCCGUGCCAGCAGCCGCGGUAAUACGGAGGGUGCAAGCGUUGUUCGGAAUUAUUGGGCGUAAAGAGCGUGUAGGCGGCCGAGUAAGUCAGAUGUGAAAUCCCUUGGCUUAACCAAGGAAGGGCAUUUGAAACUGCUUGGCUUGAGUACGGGAGGGGGAAGUGGAAUUCCCGGUGUAGAGGUGAAAUUCGUAGAUAUCGGGAGGAACAUCAGUGGCGAAGGCGGCUUCCUGGAUCGAUACUGACGCUGAGACGCGAAAGCGUGGGGAGCAAACAGGAUUAGAAACCCGGGUAGUCC
rnacentral:rRNA from 1 species